rnacentral:sRNA from 1 species
UCAAUCUGAUAAUGAGGAUCUGCGAUACU